GUUGGUAUGGCCUAGCGGUAUAGCGUCUUGAUUUUCAAAUAUCAUUAUUCUAGUAUUCUCUAGACAUUAUAUUAGGUGGUAGGGUUCGAUUCCCUACGCGGCCA